rnacentral:rRNA from 1 species
GCAGCAGUAAGGAAUAUUGGUCAAUGGACGCAAGUCUGAACCAGCCAUGCCGCGUGGAGGAUGAAGGUCCUCUGGAUUGUAAACUUCUUUUAUCUGGGACGAAAAAAGGGAAUUCUUUCUCGUCUGACGGUACCAGAUGAAUAAGCACCGGCUAACUCCGUGCCAGCAGCCGCGGUAAUACGGAGGGUGCAAGCGUUAUCCGGAUUCACUGGGUUUAAAGGGUGCGUAGGCGGGUAUGUAAGUCCGUGGUGAAAUCUCCGAGCUUAACUCGGAAACUGCCAUGGGUACUGGGUAUCUUGAAUAUAAGGAGGUGAGCGGAAUAUGUCAUGUAGCGGUGAAAUGCUUAGAUAUGACAUAGAACACCAAUUGCGAAGGCAGCUCACUACACAAAUAUUGACGCUGAGGCACGAAAGCGUGGGGAUCAAACAGGAUUAGAUACCCUGGUAGUCCACGCCCUA